rnacentral:rRNA from 1 species
UGCGCAGGCGGACUAAUAAGUCAGAGGUGAAAUCCUACAGCUUAACUGUAGAACUGCCUUUGAUACUGUUAGUCUUGAGUGCAGUUGAGGUAGGCGGAAUGUGUCAUGUAGCGGUGAAAUGCUUAGAUAUGACACAGAACACCGAUCGUGAAGACAGCUUACCAAGCUGCUACUGACGCUCAUGCACGAAAGCGUGGGGAGCGAACAGGAUUAGAUACCCUGGUAGUCC